UGCGUAGGCGGUUAUAUUAGUCGGGUGUUAAAUCCUGGGGCUCAACCUCAGAAUCGCAUUCGAAACGGUAUAACUAGAAGAAGUCAGAGGUAAGCAGAACUCUCGGUGUAGGGGUGAAAUCCGUUGAUAUCGAGGGGAAUACCAAAUGCGAAGGCAGCUUACUGGGACUUUCUUGACGCUGAGGCACGAAAGCGUGGGUAGCGAACAGGAUUAGAUACCCUGGUAGUCC
rnacentral:rRNA from 1 species